AAUAGUGUUUUUAAAAAUGGUUUUCAUUAGAAAAUCGU
rnacentral:misc_RNA from 1 species